UCCCUCUUUUGUGUACAGUUUGAUUCC
rnacentral:piRNA from 1 species